rnacentral:rRNA from 1 species
AGUCAACAUGCCCAGGGGACGUGGAUAACCUCGGGAAACUGAGGAUAAACCGCGAUAGGUCAUAAUAUCUGGAAUGAUUUAUGGUUAAAAUCUAUAUGGCCCCUGGAUUGGACUGCGGCCGAUCAGGCUGUUGGUGAGGUAAUGGCCCACCAAACCUAAAACCGGUACGGGCUCUGAGAGGAGAAGCCCGGAGAUGGGCACUGAGACAAGGGCCCAGGCCCUAUGGGGCGCAGCAGGCGCGAAAACUCUGCAAUAAGCGAAAGCUUGACAGGGUUAUUCUGAGUGAUUUCCGCUAAGGAAAUCUUUUGGCACCUCUAAAAAUGGUGCAGAAUAAGGGGUGGGCAAGCCUGGUGUCAGCCGCCGCGGUAAUACCAGCACCCCGAGUGGUCGGGACGAUUAUUGGGCCUAAAGCAUCCGUAGCCGGUUCUACAAGUCUUCCGUUAAAUCCACCUGCUUAACAGAUGGGCUGCGGAGGAUACUAUGGAGCUAGGAGGCGGGAGAGGCAAGCGGUACUUAGUGGGUAGGGGUAAAAUCCGUUGAUCCAUUGAAGACCACCAGUGGCGAAGGCGGCUUGCCAGAACGCACUCGACGGUGAGGGAUGAAAGCUGGGGGAGCAAACCGGAUUAGAUACCCGGGUAGUCCCAGCUGUAAACGAUGCAGACUCGGUGAUGAAUAGGCUUCGUGCCUCUUCAGUGCCGCAGGGAAGCCGUUAAGUCUGCCGCCUGGGGAGUACGGUCGCAAGACUGAAACUUAAA